rnacentral:rRNA from 1 species
UACGUAGGGGGCAAGCGUUGUCCGGAUUUACUGGGCGUAAAGAGCGUGUAGGCGGCCAAACAGGUCCGUUGUGAAAACUGGAGGCUCAACCUCCAGACGUCGACGGAAACCGUGUGGCUAGAGUCCGGAAGAGGAGAGUGGAAUUCCUGGUGUAGCGGUGAAAUGCGCAGAUAUCAGGAAGAACACCCGUGGCGAAAGCGGCUCUCUGGAACGGUACUGACGCUGAGACGCGAAAGCGUGGGGAGCGAACAGG